rnacentral:rRNA from 1 species
UGAGGAAUAUUGGGUCAAUGGGCGAGAGCCUGAACCAGCCAAGUCGCGUGAGGGAAGACGGUCCUACGGAUUGUAAACCUCUUUUGUCGGGGAGUAAUAGGCGGGACGUGUCCUGCUGUGAGAGUACCCGAAGAAAAAGCAUCGGCUAACUCCGUGCCAGCAGCCGCGGUAAUACGGAGGAUGCGAGCGUUAUCCGGAUUUAUUGGGUUUAAAGGGUGCGCAGGCGGCGUGCCAAGUCAGCGGUCAAAGUUCCGGGCUCAACCUGGGAACAGCAUACUAAACUGGUGGACUAGAGUAUUGCAGGGGGAGACGGAAUUCCAGGUGUAGCGGUGGAAUGCGUAGAUAUCUGGAAGAACACCAAAGGCGAAGGCAGUCUCCUGGGCAAAUACUGACGCUCAUAUGCGAAAGCGUGGGUAGCAAACAGGAUUAGAUACCCUGGUAGU